CUGAAGAUGGCGACCGGCGCACGGGUGAGUAACACGUAUCCAACCUGCCGAUAACUCCGGAAUAGCCUUUCGAAAGAAAGAUUAAUACCGGAUGGCAUACGAAUAUCGCAUGAUAUUUUUUAUUUAAAGAAUUUCGGUUAUCGAUGGGGAUGCGUUCCAUUAGUUUGUUGGCGGGGUAACGGCCCACCAAGACUACGAUGGAUAGGGGUUCUGAGAGGAAGGUCCCCCACAUUGGAACUGAGACACGGUCCAAACUCCUACGGGAGGCAGCAUG
rnacentral:rRNA from 1 species